rnacentral:rRNA from 1 species
GAUGAACGCUGGCGGCGUGCCUAAUACAUGCAAGUCGAGCGAACAGACGAGGAGCUUGCUCCUCUGACGUUAGCGGCGGACGGGUGAGUAACACGUGGAUAACCUACCUAUAAGACUGGGAUAACUUCGGGAAACCGGAGCUAAUACCGGAUAAUAUAUUGAACCGCAUGGUUCAAUAGUGAAAGACGGUUUUGCUGUCACUUAUAGAUGGAUCCGCGCCGCAUUAGCUAGUUGGUAAGGUAACGGCUUACCAAGGCAACGAUGCGUAGCCGACCUGAGAGGGUGAUGGGCCACACUGGAACUGAGACGCGGUCCAGACUCCGACGGGAGGCAGCAGUAGGGAAUCUUGCGCAAUGGGCGAAAGCCUGACGGAGCGGCGCCGCGUGGGUGAUGAAGGUCUUCGGAUCGUAAAACUCUGUUAUUAGGGAAGAACAAAUGUGUAAGUAACUAUGCACGUCUUGACGGUACCUAGUCAGAAAGCCACGGCUAACUACGUG